UAAUUUGCUUUUUUAGUCUAGUUAAGUCUAUCUCAACAAGUGAUCAGUAAACUGUUUUUAUUUACAUAUUUGUUAAUAGUGUUUAAUUUAUUAGUGUGCAAUUAUGAUUACAUGUAUGUCAGUUAACUAUUAUCUAAAUUGUUAUUGUUAUUUUUAUUUUACUAGCAAUUAUUUUCAAGCUAAGGGUGAUUUGUUUUGGGUUCAAUUUUUGGACUAUUUCUUGUUAAUUUUGGCCAUUUUGUUGGAAGUUAAUUUGUGAUUAUUAAGGUAAUUGGCGUUUUGUUGUACUCUUACCGUGUUUCAUUAGAUUAAUAAUAAAGUUCUCAAGGUUAAGUGGAUUCUUUUCCAUCAAAAGAUAAUCAUUUUCUUGUUACCUUUAUAUUGCUUACUGAAAAGCUAAAUAAACAAGUUGCAUCAAUAAAGGUAUACUACUGUUCAAAUUAAA